rnacentral:rRNA from 1 species
UGCAAGUCGAACGAGAAGCUUUUUAAUGAUCCUUCGGGUGAGCUAAGAAGUGGAAAGUGGCGAACGGGUGAGUAACGCGUGGGUAACCUGCCUCAUGGAAAGGAAUAGCCUCGGGAAACUGGGAGUAAAGCCUUAUAUUAUUGAGUUGUCGCAUGGCAAUUCGAUGAAAACUCCGGUGCCAUGAGAUGGACCCGCGUCCCAUUAGCUAGUUGGUGAGAUAACAGCCCACCAAGGCAACGAUGGGUAACCGGUCUGAGAGGGCGAACGGUCACACUGGAACUGAGACACGGUCCAGACUCCUACGGGAGGCAGCAGUGGGGAAUAUUGCGCAAUGGGGGCAACCCUGACGCAGCAAUACCGCGUGAGUGAAGAAGGUUUUCGGAUCGUAAAACUCUUUUAUUGGGGAAGAAGAAGUGACGGUACCCAAUGAAGAAGUCCCGGCUAACUACGUGCCAGCAGCCGCGGUAAUACGUAGGGGACAAGCGUUGUCCGGAAUCACUG